rnacentral:rRNA from 1 species
GAUGAACGCUGGCGGCGUGCCUAAUACAUGCAAGUCGAGCGAACAGAUGAGGAGCUUGCUCCUCUGACGUUAGCGGCGGACGGGUGAGUAACACGUGGAUAACCUACCUAUAAGACUGGGAUAACUACGGGAAACCGGAGCUAAUACCGGAUAAUAUAUUGAACCGCAUGGUUCAAUAGUGAAAGACGGUUUUGCUGUCACUUAUAGAUGGAUCCGCGCCGCAUUAGCUAGUUGGUAAGGUAACGGCUUACCAAGGCAACGAUGCGUAGCCGACCUGAGAGGGUGAUCGGCCACACUGGAACUGAGACACGGUCCAGACUCCUACGGGAGGCAGCAGUAGGGAAUCUUCCGCAAUGGGCGAAAGCCUGACGGAGCAACGCCGCGUGAGUGAUGAAGGUCUUCGGAUCGUAAAACUCUGUUAUUAGGGAAGAACAAAUGUGUAAGUAACUAUGCACGUCUUGACGGUACCUAAUCAGAACGCCACGGCUAACUACGUG